AAUGGGUCGCCAGAUGACGAUACAUUGUAAACCCCGUCAGGCCUGGAAAGGAGCAGCGGUAGCAAUCAAUUCGAGCAUCUGGAAUGGCUCUUAAAA
rnacentral:SRP_RNA from 2 species